CUACGGGGGGCUGCAGUGGGGAAUAUUGCACAAUGGGCGAAAGCCUGAUGCAGCAACGCCGCGUGAGGGACGACGGCCUUCGGGUUGUAAACCUCUUUUAGCAGGGAAGAAGCGAAAGUGACGGUACCUGCAGAAAAAGCACCGGCUAACUACGUGCCAGCAGCCGCGGUAAUACGUAGGGUGCAAGCGUUGUCCGGAAUUAUUGGGCGUAAAGAGCUCGUAGGCGGUUUGUCGCGUCUGCUGUGAAAAUCCGAGGCUCAACCUCGGACCUGCAGUGGGUACGGGCAAACUAGAGUGCGGUAGGGGGGAUUGGAAUUCCUGGUGUAGCGGUGGAAUGCGCAGAUAUCAGGAGGAACACCAAUGGCGAAGGCAGAUCUCUGGGCCGUAACUGACGCUGAGGAGCGAAAGCGUGGGGAGCGAACAGGAUUAGAUACCCGGGUAGUC
rnacentral:rRNA from 1 species